rnacentral:rRNA from 1 species
CCUACGGGGCGCAGCAGUGGGGAAUAUUGGGCAAUGGGCGCAAGCCUGACCCAGCAACGCCGCGUGAAGGAAGAAGGCUUUCGGGUUGUAAACUUCUUUUCUCAGGGACGAAGCAAGUGACGGUACCUGUGGAAUAAGCCACGGCUAACUACGUGCCAGCAGUCGCGGUAAUACGUCGGUGGCAAGCGUUAUCCGGAUUUACUGGGUGUAAAGGGCGUGUAGGCGGGACUGCAAGUCAGAUGUGAAAGCCACGGGCUCAACCUGUGGCCUGCAUUUGAAACUGUAGUUCUUGAGUACUGGAGAGGCAGACGGAAUGCCUGGUGUAGCGGUGAAAUGCGUAGAGAUUAGGAGGAACACCGGUGGCGAAGGCAGUCUGCUAGGCAGCAACUGACGCUGAGGCGCGAAAGCGUGGGGAGCAAACAGGAGUAGAUACCCUUGUAGUC